AUUGCAAGCAUAUGACACUUCUCCAAUGUUCCAAGCGUGUAGAAGAACUAAGGUGGCCGACACAAAAACGUCACUGGUGUAUCUAGAUCCAGUGUUUGGUUUGUCCAUUCUGGGCUACUGUAGAAACACGGCGGUCGGCUCCGUGAAGAGAACCUGCUCCCUAUGUAUAUAUAAACGGCUCAUUC